rnacentral:rRNA from 1 species
AAUCUUCCGCAAUGGACGAAAGUCUGACGGAGCAACGCCGCGUGAGUGAAGAAGGUUUUCGGAUUGUAAAGCUCUGUCUUCUGGGAAGAAUGUCAUCCUUGAAAAUAUUGAGGGUGAAUGACGGUACUAGAGGAGGAAGCCACGGCUAACUACGUGCCAGCAGCCGCGGUAAUACGUAGGUGGCAAGCGUUGUCCGGAAUUAUUGGGCGUAAAGCGCGCGCAGGCGGGAAUGUAAGUCUGUCUUAAAAGUUCGGGGCUCAACCCCGUGAUGGGACAGAAACUAUAUUUCUUGAGUGCAGGAGAGGACAGUGGAAUUCCCAGUGUAGCGGUGAAAUGCGUAGAUAUUGGGAGGAACACCAGUGGCGAAGGCGACUGUCUGGACUGUGUCUGACGCUGAGGCGCGAAAGCCAGGGUAGUGAACGGG